CCUAUAACUGACCCUAUAACGGCCCUAUAAAUGACCCUAUAAGUGACCCUAUAAAUGGCCCUAUAAAUGGCCCUAUAAGUGACCCUAUAACUGCCCUAUAACUGACCCUAUAAAUGACCCUAUAACGGCCCUAUAAAUGGCCCUAUAAGUGACCCUAUAACUGCCCUAUAAGUGACCCUAUAAAUGACCCUAUAACGGCCCUAUAACUGAUCCUAUAAAUGACCCUAUAACGGCCCUAUAAAUGGCCCUAUAAGUGACCCUAUAACUGACCCUAUAACUGCCCUAUAAAUGACCCUAUAACUGACCCUAUAACUGACCCUAUAACGGCCCUAUAAAUGACCCUAUAAUGACCCUACAACUGACCCUAUAACUGACCCUAUAACGGACCUAUAAAUGACCCUAUAACUGACCCUAUAAUGACCCUAUAACUGACCCUAUAACUGCCCUAUAAAUGACCCUAUAACUGACCCUAUAACUGACCCUAUAACGGCCCUAUAAAUGACCCUAUAAGUGACCCUAUAAAUGGCCCUAUAAAUGGCCCUAUAAGUGACCCUAUAACUGACCCUAUAACGGCCCCAAAACGGCCCCAUAACGGCCCUAUAACUGACCCUAUAAUGACCGUAUAAAUGACCCUAUAACUGACCCUAUAACGGCCCUAUAACGGCCCUAUAAAUGACCCUAUAACUGACCCUAUAACUGCCCUAUAAAUGACCCUAUAACUGACCCUAUAAAUGACCCUAUAACUGACCCU